rnacentral:rRNA from 1 species
GGGAAACUCACCAGGUCCAGACACAAUAAGGAUUGACAGAUUGAUAGCUCUUUCUUGAUCUUGUGGUUGGUGGUGCAUGGCCGUUCUUAGUUGGUGGAGUGAUUUGUCUGGUUAAUUCCGAUAACGAACGAGACCUUAACCUGCUAAAUAGACCAGACGGCUUUGGCUAGCUGCUGUCUUCUUAGAGGGACUAUCAGCGUUUAGCUGAUGGAAGUUUGAGGCAAUAA